UUGAAAGACCAAAAACAGUGAAAAAAAAGAGGUCAGGUUGCCUCUAGAGUUCCCCCGAACACUUCACUGGGAACUUGCUGAGAGUUUCUCUCAUCGGCUUAUUCAUAAAUUUCCUACUGAAGUGUUUGGGGGAACUCCUGAUGUUGCUUGACAAUAAACUUCGCCUCGGUCAAUGCUAACGAGUCAUGGCAAAGCUAAUACAAGGGAGGGUUUAUGAAGGGCUUGUGUCUGGUUGGUAAGGUGCUCUGGAAAUGUAUAACAUACUCUAUUGCGAGAAGUGUUUAAUCAGCUCAUCUUAAUUCAUUGAUACCCUCAGAAGCACUAGCCCUCGAUCAAUUGGUUGGAGCAGGAACGAUCUAAUUCCCAUCUGGUUUACAUGGUGAUACUUGAAUGCCCAUGCAGCAAAAUCAUCUCCUUCACUGGAGCCGUAAAUCCUAAAUUUAUUAUCAUUUUAACGUCGUUUCGCCAUUUCCACGCUUUUUUCAAAUUACAAGCAUCAUAGCUUACUGAACUUGUCAAGCUAGUCUAGCCUUACCUAUCGAAUGGAAGUCGUUGGGUAGUCCUUGAAAAUAAUUCACCGAAGCUAGAGAAAUACGGACUCUGAAUAUUUGGUUUUACUCUAUCUGUUUAAGUUGAUUCAGCGGAACCCUAGCUGGCAAAGGCAAGAACCAUCAAAUAGGAGUUCAUCAUUACGAUUUAAGAAAGUUCGUUUGCUGAUAAGCAAUCAUCUUUAUUCUCUUUCGACUGUCGCGGGGUGAUCUUCACCAACUAAAAUUAGAGAAAUGGUGGUACUGCACUGGAAAUUGCUCGCCGGAGGCAGUGGACGAAUUCCAGUUAUGUCUGUUCAAAUUAAGGCUAAAGGAGAAUCCACAGCUUCAGAUCACUUGCUAAUCUAAGAUACUGUUCUAUCUAUUCAUUUGCUCAAUUUUCUUAAUUUAUUUUCGUGAGAGAAAGGUCAACCGACAUUUAUAAUAUGUUCACUUCUCUUUGUUUUCGUCA